GAUGGUUAAUUGAUCAGUGAUCUCCCUGCUUGACCUCCUGUUGUGAUCCGAUUGAUUCCAAUGAGGUUGAGUGCUGUGGAUCAACAAGCACGACUGUGAGGAAAAGACAAGUCCGGUAGAUACAAAAAUUACAAGAUUGCAAGUUUGGAUUGAAGGUCACAAGAAAAAAAAUGGGGAGCCUAGUACUCAAGCUGUUGGAGAGAAAAUAGUGGACCUAAUUCGACCAAAUG